GGGGAUGUAGCUCAGUUGGUAGAGUGCUUGCCUUGCAUGUAUAGGCCCUGGGUUUGAUUCCCAGCAACCCCU
rnacentral:tRNA from 1 species